GACGAACGCUGUCGGCGUGCUUAACACAUGCAAGUCGAACGGAAAGGCCCUGCUUUUGUGGGGUGCUCGAGUGGCGAACAGGUGAGUAACACGUGAGUAACCUGCCCUUGACUUUGGGAUAACUUCAGGAAACUGGGGCUAAUACCGGAUAGGAGCUCCUGCUGCAUGGUGGGGGUUGGAAAGUUUCGGCGGUUGGGGAUGGACUCGCGGCUUAUCAGCUUGUUGGUGGGGUAGUGGCUUACCAAGGCUUUGACGGGUAGCCGGCCUGAGAGGGUGACCGGCCACAUUGGGACUGAGAUACGGCCCAGACUCCUACGGGAGGCAGCAGUGGGGAAUAUUGCACAAUGGGCGGAAGCCUGAUGCAGCAACGCCGCGUGCGGGAUGACGGCCUUCGGGUUGUAAACCGCUUUCGCCUGUGACGAAGCGUGAGUGACGGUAAUGGGUGAAGAAGCACCGGCUAACUACGUGCCAGCAGCCGCGGUGAUACGUAGGGUGCGAGCGUUGUCCGGAUUUAUUGGGCGUAAAGGGCUCGUAGGUGGUUGAUCGCGUCGGAAGUGUAAUCUUGGGGCUUAACCCUGAGCGUGCUUUCGAUACGGGUUGACUUGAGGAAGGUAGGGGAGAAUGGGAUUCCUGGUGGAGCGGUGGAGUGCGCAGAUAUCAGGAGGAACACCAGUGGCGAAGGCGGUUCUCUGGGCCUUUCCUGACGCUGAGGAGCGAAAGCGUGGGGAGCGAACAGGCUUAGAUACCCUGGUAGUCCACGCUGUAAACGGUGGGUACUAGGUGUGGGGUCCAUUCCACGGGUUCCGUGCCGUAGCUAACGCUUUAAGUACCCCGCCUGGGGGGUACGGCCGCAAGGCUAAAACUCAAAGGAAUUGACGGGGCCCCGCACAAGCGGCGGAGCAUGCGGAUUAAUUCGAUGCAACGCGUAGAACCUUACCUGGGUUUGACAUGGAUCGGGAGUGCUCAGAGAUGGGUGUGCCUCUUUUGGGGUCGGUUCACAGGUGGUGCAUGGCUGUCGUCAGCUCGUGUCGUGAGAUGUUGGGUUAAGUCCCGCAACGAGCGCAACCCUUGUUCACUGUUGCCAGCACGUUAUGGUGGGGACUCAGUGGAGACCGCCGGGGUCAACUCGGAGGAAGGUGGGGAUGACGUCAAGUCAUCAUGCCCCUUAUGUCCAGGGCUUCACGCAUGCUACAAUGGCUGGUACAGAGAGUGGCGAGCCUGUGAGGGUGAGCGAAUCUCGGAAAGCCGGUCUCAGUUCGGAUUGGGGUCUGCAACUCGACCUCAUGAAGUCGGAGUCGCUAGUAAUCGCAGAUCAGCAACGCUGCGGUGAAUACGUUCCCGGGGCU
rnacentral:rRNA from 1 species